UNNGGUGGANCAUGUNGUUUAAUUNGAAGCAACGCGAAGAACCUUACCAGGUCUUGACAUCCUUUGACCACUCGAGAGAUCGAGCUUUCCCUUCGGGGACAAAGUGACAGGUGGUGCAUGGUUGUCGUCAGCUCGUGUCGUGAGAUGUUGGGUUAAGUCCCGCAACGAGCGCAACCCUUAUUACUAGUUGCCAGCAUUCAGUUGGGCACUCUAGUGAGACUGCCGGUGACAAACCGGAGGAAGGUGGGGAUGACGUCAAAUCAUCAUGCCCCUUAUGACCUGGGCUACACACGUGCUACAAUGGAUGGUACAACGAGUCGCGAAGUCGUGAGGCCAAGCUAAUCUCUUAAAGCCAUUCUCAGUUCGGAUUGUAGGCUGCAACUCGCCUACNGAAGCCGGA
rnacentral:rRNA from 1 species